GUUUGAUCAUGGCUCAGAGCGAACGCUGGCGGCAGGCUUAACACAUGCAAGUCGAGCGGGCGUAGCAAUACGUCAGCGGCAGACGGGUGAGUAACGCGUGGGAACAUACCUUUUGGUUCGGAACAACACAGGGAAACUUGUGCUAAUACCGGAUAAGCCCUUACGGGGAAAGAUUUAUCGCCGAAAGAUUGGCCCGCGUCUGAUUAGCUAGUUGGUGAGGUAACGGCUCACCAAGGCGACGAUCAGUAGCUGGUCUGAGAGGAUGAUCAGCCACAUUGGGACUGAGACACGGCCCAAACUCCUACGGGAGGCAGCAGUGGGGAAUAUCGGACAAUGGGCGAAAGCCUGAUCCAGCCAUGCCGCGUGAGUGAUGAAGGCCCUAGGGUUGUAAAGCUCUUUUGUGCGGGAAGAUAAUGACGGUACCGCAAGAAUAAGCCCCGGCUAACUUCGUGCCAGCAGCCGCGGUAAUACGAAGGGGGCUAGCGUUGCUCGGAAUCACUGGGCGUAAAGGGUGCGUAGGCGGGUUUUUAAGUCAGAGGUGAAAUCCUGGAGCUCAACUCCAGAACUGCCUUUGAUACUGAGAAUCUUGAGUACGGGAGAGGUGAGUGGAACUGCGAGUGUAGAGGUGAAAUUCGUAGAUAUUCGCAAGAACACCAGUGGCGAAGGCGGCUCACUGGCCCGUAACUGACGCUGAGGCACGAAAGCGUGGGGAGCAAACAGGAUUAGAUACCCUGGUAGUCCACGCCGUAAACGAUGAAUGCCAGCCGUUAGUGGGUUUACUCACUAGUGGCGCAGCUAACGCUUUAAGCAUUCCGCCUGGGGAGUACGGUCGCAAGAUUAAAACUUAAAGGAAUUGACGGAAG
rnacentral:rRNA from 1 species